ACUGUCACAGUGAGAGAAGCCCCUUACACAGAUUUUCUUGUAUACCUCUGUUACUAGCUAAAUGAUAAACAUAUACCUACAUUCUUAGAGUAUAGGCCUUUACAGGCAGGCCUGAAUAUCUAUAUCCUAACACUACUUCACAUUCUUGCU